rnacentral:rRNA from 1 species
CAAUAGCGUAUAUUAAAGUUGUUGCAGUUAAAAAGCUCGUAGUUGAAUUUCUGGCGGGCGCGCCGGUCUUCCAAGUGUUGUACUGGGCGCAGUCCGCCAUCCUUGUGGAGAGGGCUCGCAUUGAGUUGCGUGUCGGAUCUGCAUCAUUUACUGUGAAAAAAUUAGAGUGUUUAAAGCAGGCUAUCGCUUGAAUACGUUAGCAUGGAAUAAUAAGAUAGGACUUCGGUCUAUUUUGUUGGUUGCGAACCGAGGUAAUGAUUAAUAGGGAUAGUUGGGGGUAUUCAUAUUUAAUUGUCAGAGGUGAAAUUCUUGGAUUUAUGAAAGAUGAACAACUGCGAAAGCAUUUACCAAGGAUGUUUUCAUUAA